UACGAAGGGGGCUAGCGUUGUUCGGAAUCACUGGGCGUAAAGGGCGCGUAGGCGGCUUUAUAAGUCGGGGGUGAAAGCCUGUGGCUCAACCACAGAAUUGCCUUCGAUACUGUAGAGCUUGAGACCGGAAGAGGUAAGUGGAACUGCGAGUGUAGAGGUGAAAUUCGUAGAUAUUCGCAAGAACACCAGUGGCGAAGGCGGCUUACUGGUCCGGUUC
rnacentral:rRNA from 1 species